rnacentral:lncRNA from 1 species
CAUUUAUGCAUGUUAUAAAUAUGAAUAAGGCCUAUUGAAACUUACUCUACUGGAUUUGGUGAAUGUAUACUUUAUCUAUAUACAAAAAUUAUAAUUUGCAUAAACUAAUAUCCUCAUUAUUGUUAUGUCAUUGCAACAGUGAUACAUAGUAUAUAAUUGAAGGUCUGAAUGAGGGGGUCUUCAUAUUUGAAUUCUUUAAUUUCUUAGGCUAUUUUUAUGCACCCAACAUGGCGAAGGGGGCGUCAAAUUUCACACAUGUUUGUCUGUACGGAGUCACUUUUACCAGUCAGGAGCUAUAUGCCCUUUCACAAAU